rnacentral:tRNA from 1 species
GGUGUAGCGUAGUCCGGUUAGCGCGCCUGCUUUGGGAGCAGGAUGUCGGAGGUUCGAAUCCUCUCAC